GACACCGAGGGGACCCAGAAAGCUGAGGUGGUUCCUUCCUUCAGAGAGCACUUUUAAGGGCUUGCCUGCUUGGGGAGGCAGUGAUCUGUUCAAGGGAAGGGGAGGUGUGACUCAUCUAUUGACCAAUCAAGAAAACAAUUACUUUUUCCUUGAGAUUCACCAAUAUAGCCAUCAGUUGGAGACUGAAUGUCCUACAAGUUGAUGUCUUCCAUGCUUCUGAGGGGGACACGCUUGUGAUGUCACCCAAUUUUUAAUUUGCUACGUGCUCAAGGUAUGGUGGCCGUGUUGGUCAAUUAGCUUGUACUAGAAGUCGGGGGGGAGGGAGACUUUAUCAUUUAAUACUUAUUUGGAGACACUAUGGCCCAGUGGAUAGCGCACUGGACUGGAUCUCAGGAGAUCUGGGUUCUAUACCUGACUGCCACUGGCCUGCUGGGAGAGCUUGAGCAAGUCACCUGUAAAAUAAGCAUAAUGAUGCUGACCUCC